UCGAAAUCUUCUACCGAAUCUGAGUGUCAUGCUAUGUCCUCCGCGUGUUCAGAGAUUGUGUGGCUUCGAGGUUUGAUGAGUGAACUUGGUAUUCCACAACUUACUCCUACUCCUCUUCAUGCGGAUUAUACCAAUGCUAUUCAAAUUGCUGUCAAUCCAGUGUUUCAUGAGCACACCAAGCAUAUUGAAGUAGAUUGUCAUUCCAUUCGUGACGCACUUGAUCAACAUGUGAUUACACUUCCUCACAUUUCCACCGAACACCAAACUGCUGAUGUCUUUACCAAGGCUGUCUUGCCACCAUCAUCAAUUCAUGAUCGACAAAUUGAUGCUUCCUAAUCGACCAACAUCAAUUUGAGGGGGAUAUCAAUGAUAUUCAUAUAUGGCAAUAUAUAGAUGGCUAUAAAUAUAGCAGUAGCUAUAUAUAUAUAUAGGCAACAUUUAGUUUCCUUAUUGGUAUUCAUUUAUUCUUUCUUGCUAGACAACUGGACAUAUGAUUCCGGGGAUGUAAUUAGGGAUUGAUAUUGAUAUAAUACACGGAAAACUCUUGAGAGAGAGGUAUUCGAU